rnacentral:rRNA from 1 species
UACGGCGGCCAUAGCGGAGGGGAAAACGCCGGUCCAUUCCGAACCCGGAAGCUAAGCCCUCCAGCGCCGAUGGUACUGCACUCGACAGGGUGUGGGAGAGUAGGACACCGCCGAAC